UACGGGGGGGGCAAGCGUUGUUCGGAAUUACUGGGCGUAAAGGGCUCGUAGGUGGCCAACUAAGUCAGACGUGAAAUCCCUCAGCUUAACUGGGGAACUGCGUCUGAUACUGGAUGGCUUGAGUUCGGGAGAGGGAUGCGGAAUUCCAGGUGUAGCGGUGAAAUGCGUAGAUAUCUGGAGGAACACCGGUGGCGAAGGCGGCAUCCUGGACCAAUAUUGACGCUGAGGAGCGAAAGCCAGGGGAGCAAACGGG
rnacentral:rRNA from 1 species